rnacentral:rRNA from 1 species
UACGUAGGGGGCAAGCGUUGUCCGGAAUCAUUGGGCGUAAAGAGCGUGUAGGCGGUCCGGUAAGUCGGCUGUGAAAGCCCAGGGCUCAACCCUGGGAUGCCGGUCGAUACUGCCGGACUAGAGUUCGGAAGAGGCGAGUGGAAUUCCCGGUGUAGCGGUGAAAUGCGCAGAUAUCGGGAGGAACACCAAUGGCGAAGGCAGCUCGCUGGGACGUUACUGACGCUGAGACGCGAAAGCGUGGGGAGCAAACAGG